rnacentral:lncRNA from 1 species
UUUUUCUUUUAUAAUAAGAAAAACUAUUUAGGAAAAAAAGAAAAAAAAUGGGACCGGCUACUACUGUUUAAAAUCUUUAGAUGUGUUGUGUCCCUUCUGCUUAAAAAUAAAAUACAGAACCUUCUCUAUCCGACUUGGAAAAUAUCAGUGGAGUGGAGUAGCUUUGAAGAAGUGCCCGAGACGGAGAGGUGACCUUCAUAAGAAACAGGGAACAGAGCUGAAGAAGAUUCCAGGGCUGCACGAACAGAGCAGAGAUGUGUGCCUUUACUGAAAGAAAAUGGAAUCCUUCUCUGUAAGUAAGCCAAGAUCGUGUGGUGCUUCUCGUCGCGGCCUGAAGUGUAGAAGAGAAGGAGAAUGAGGAAGAAAAUAUUUUUGAGAUUUUACAGAGAUUUUCACUCUGUUGUGGAAUAAAGUCGCUCACACCAGGCAGCUUAACUGAACGCAUUUUAUACUUUAAGUUUCUGACACAACCUCAGAGCAAAGAGGAACCUCUCCAAGGACCUAACCAGAUGCGAGCCUGGAUAUAUCAAUGAGAAUAUCUAAGAUUCAGCAAUUCGAUAGAAAGUAUUUCUGUGCACCAACCCUAUGCUGAGUACUUGGCCACAUGCUGGGGAUGCAAAGACGUGAGCUCAUUCUACAUCAGUCCCACUUUCUGCCCUCUCUUCCCCGUUCUGAGCCCUGGGAGACUGACGCUUACUGAUGGGCUCCCUUGCCUUCUGGCUUCCGGUUGGUGUUGGCUGCACCUGUGAAGUGACGCUCAUCUGUCAGCAGCUAUGUCCAUAUGAUGACCAUUUCUCUGGUUCUGAUUCCAAAAGGAUUCCAAAAGGAUUCAGCUCUAGGACUGAUGUAACUUUUAAGCAGGAAAAUUCUUCUGAAGGAAGAGAGAGUGAAAGCAUAUGAAAUGAAUCUCAAGCUGAAUGAACAUCCUCCAAGUAAUUAAAAGCAGAUUGUUUCCUCCUAAACCCUUUAGUUUCUGGUUUCUGCCUAAGGAGGGCAAGGUUUAGGUAUGAAUUGUGGGCUAAGAUGACUUGAAAGGCAAUCUAGACAACUGUUGAUUUGAGCUCUUUACUUACUGACUGUGUGUCUGUAGGGAGAGGCGUGAAUAACCUUGGAGCAUCGUCCUGCAUACUGAUAAAAACAUUAAGAACUAUAGGCAUUAGUUCUGCCUUUGGCUGCAACUUUUGUAAAGGAGCGUAGCCUCAGCUCUUCCUUGGUAAAAUGAGAAGAGCUUGCUGUCACGAGCACGCUAUGAAGGCACACACUCGCAUUGUGUCUUUCCACAGUGUCAGCUUUAUUCAAUCAUAGAGCCAAGUUAAUCCCAGUAACAAAGCAGGUUCAGGAUUCCAAACUCAAUGGCAACUCACCAUGUGAUUAAACUUGGCUUCUUACACAGCACCCAGAGCGGGACAGAAGACGCGUCACACAACACACGAGAUAACAGAAGGGUGCAGGAAGUGCUCGAACCGACUGUGAAGUCAGUCUGUGGGCGCACGGCUGAGAUAAGGCCUCUGUCUCGUCGGGGUCGGCUCUCCACACUUACCGCUUCUUAGGUUCAAGCACUGAGGGCUCUCGGUUCUGUUCCGAGAUCACGGGGAUCAAUGGGCAGAGCCUUCGGCGGCAGUUGCCUUUUUGAAGUGGUCAGACAUGGAGGGGUCACAUCUAAGGAGUCUGAAAGUUUGCUGCCCAAAUCCUCCUCUUUUUAAAGGGAUUUAAUUGGUCUCGGGGCCCCUGAAGCCCUUGUCUGGUUCUGCUUGUUAGUAGUGCUGGAGUGUUAGCUGAUGCGCGAUACCUUGUAGCUACAGUACCGUUAACUGCUUACCUCAUCGCUUGACACAGCCUCCUGCUUGACAUGAGAGACUCCAUUUUGCUCUCUACAGUUGACCAUUUCAUGGGAUUGGUG